UACGGAGGAUGCAAGCGUUAUCCGGAAUUAUUGGGCGUAAAGCGUCCGCAGGUGGUUAUCCAAGUCUGCUGUUAAAGCGCGAGACUUAACUUCGUACAGGCAGUGGAAACUGGGUGACUGGAGUAUGGUAGGGGUAGCGGGAAUUCCCAGUGUAGCGGUGAAAUGCGUAGAUAUUGGGAAGAACACCAGCGGCGAAAGCGCGCUACUGGGCCAUUACUGACACUCAUGGACGAAAGCUAGGGGAGCGAAAGGG
rnacentral:rRNA from 1 species